CUCUAAUACACAUGCCAUGCAUUAUCUGGCUUCUUCUCUCCCUCCCACGAAAAGAGUUUCGUAGAGCCGUAAGGCUGUCUGGGUUCCGACAGGAACUAGUUCUGUACGGCGAAGCCCUGCCGGAUAGAUGACACCGUAUGUGUGCAACUCUGUAGAGAGAUCGUAGUUUCGGUCUUAGUUCGUGAGUGCCUCCCGAAGGGCUGUCCGUGUGACCGUCCGAGUUUCGAAGGUCCUCCCGAAGGGCUGUCCGAGUGACCGUUCGAGUUUCAAAGGUCCUCCCGAAGGGCUGUCCGCGACACCGUCCGGGGGGCUGUUCGACCGCCUCCUGGAGGGCUGUCUGAGGAGCAGAUGAGGGUAUACAUCCUCGCGGUUGGGAGGUUGUAAAUCCUAGCUGCGGGGAUCUGCACCGCCGAUCGUCAUCGACUCUACUUCCCGCUGCGCUACGAGUCGGUAACGAAAAAGAUCAAACCAUGUAUGCAGUCUCCAUAGUGGUCCUGGGCUGGUGCGUAGGUCGGAAAAUUUUUGUUUUCUGCUGCGUUCCCCUACA
rnacentral:rRNA from 1 species